UAGCAAAAUUAUGAGUAGUUUGUCCCUGUUACAGGUCCUGUUUGUCUUAAGGACAGGUCCUGUUUGUCUUAAGGACAGGUCCUGUUUGUCUCUGUUACAGGUCCUGUUUGUCUCUGUUACAGGUCCUGUUUGUCUCUGUUACAGGUCCUGUUUGUCUCUGUUACAGGUCCUGUUUGUCCCUGUUACAGGUCCUGUUUGUCUCUGUUACAGGUCCUGUUUGUCUCUGUUACAGGUCCUGUUUGUCCCUGUUACAGGUCCUGUUUGUCUCUGUUACAGGUCCUGUUUGUCUCUGUUACAGGUCCUGUUUGUCUCUGUUACAGGUCCUGUUUGUCCCUGUUACAGGUCCUGUUUGUCCCUGUUACAGGUCCUGUUUGUCCCUGUUACAGGUCCUGUUUGUCUCUGUUACAGGUCCUGUUUGUCUCUGUUACAGGUCCUGUUUGUCUUAAGGACAGAUCCUGUUUGUCCCUGUUACAGUUCCCAUUUGUCCCUGUUACAUUCACAACCUGGAACCCAUUUCCAUCAUGACCACCUAAUCAUCCCCUCAUUCCUAAUCGGCAGCCAUUUUUGUGCCAGAACACUCACCACACAUCAAUCAGCUAGCAUGGUGGAGAGGUGAAAUGAUGUGAUGAGCGUUCUGGCACAAAAUGGCUGCCGGUGCAUCACCCACACCUUGGUGGUGGAGAGGUGAAAUGAUGUGAUGAGCGUUCUGGCACAAAAAUGGCUGCCGGUGCACCACCCACACAAUGGUGGUGGAUGAGGUGAAAUUAUGUGAUGAGCGUUCUGGCACAAAAUGGCUGCCGGUGUACCACCCACACAAUGGUGGUGGAUGAGGUGAAAUGAUGUGAUGAGCGUUCUGGCACAAAAUGGCUGCCGUGCACCGUGAUGGAUGAGGUGAGUUUCACCCUUUACUAUGUAAAACGCUUUGAAUCCCUCAGUUGGUAGCGAGAGGGCGCGAUAUAAAUCCAACCCAUUAUUAUUAUUAUUAGUACGUUGUUCAUAUGCGACCAUUUUUACGAGCUGCUUUUACGAGUCCAGUCGUAGCUCCGGACUGAUAUCUAGGAAUAUGACAUAACACUGUUUAACAUCUCAUAAGCAUGACAUAGGGCAUGACAUAGGACAUGACAUAGGACAUGACAUAGGACUAUUGUUGCAAAAUUGCAGUAAUUUCCCCCAA